rnacentral:rRNA from 1 species
GACGAACGCUGGCGGCGUGCUUAACACAUGCAAGUCGAGCGGAGCGGCGAACGGGUGAGUAACGCGUGAGUAACUGCCCCCCUCUCUGGGAUAACAUUUGGAAACGGCUGCUAUUACCGGAUAGUGGGGGAUGACUCGGGUCUUAUCAGCUUGUUGGUGGGGUAUGUGCCUACCAAGGCGACGACGGGUAGCCGGCCUGGGAGGGCGUCCGGCCACAUGGGGCUGGGAUACGGCCCAGAAUCCAACGGGAGGCAGCAGUGGGGAAUAUUGCCCAAUGGGGGAAACGCUGAUGCAGCAACGCCGCGGGCGGGAUGACGGCCUGCUGGUUGUAAACCGCUUUCAGCCAUAACGCGGUAGUGGCAGAAGAAGCACCGGCUAACUACGUGCCAGCCGCCGCGGUAAUAC